GUGGGGAAUUUUGGACAAUGGGGGCAACCCUGAUCCAGCAAUGCCGCGUGCAGGAAGAAGGCCUUCGGGUUGUAAACUGCUUUUGUACGGAACGAAACGGUCUGGGUUAAUACCCUGGGCUAAUGACGGUACCGUAAGAAUAAGCACCGGCUAACUACGUGCCAGCAGCCGCGGUAAUACGUAGGGUGCGAGCGUUAAUCGGAAUUACUGGGCGUAAAGCGUGCGCAGGCGGUUUUGUAAGACAGGCGUGAAAUCCCCGGGCUCAACCUGGGAAUUGCGCUUGUGACUGCAAGGCUGGAGUGCGGCAGAGGGGGAUGGAAUUCCGCGUGUAGCAGUGAAAUGCGUAGAUAUGCGGAGGAACACCGAUGGCGAAGGCAAUCCCCUGGGCCUGCACUGACGCUCAUGCACGAAAGCGUGGGGAGCAAACAGGAUUAGAUACCCUUGUAGUCC
rnacentral:rRNA from 1 species